UUUUCCAGAUACUAUUGCCAGAUUCUUCAAAUGAAUUGACCCAUGUUCCUCCAGUGCCAAGUGAAGAAAGCUCAGCUGAGAUUUCAAGCAAUGAAUCUGAUGACACCAUUCUUCUAAGUGAUGACAGCCCUACAAGAAAGAGGAGAGCUGAAGAUGAAGCAGGAAUUAUGGUCAAAAAAAUUCUGCAGACUAAACCUGGUGGGGAUGGAAUCAUCAGAGAGUACAACAAAACCAAAUGCUUGUCUGACAGCAACAGGAGAAAGAUGGUCAAUAUUCUUACUGCAGAUAUGACUGAAAAGCACAGCUCAUCUCCACCCAAACAAGUAAGAGAACUGUAUGCUCAAGGAAUCAUUGCC